AUGAAUUGCCUAUGUUGGAACUGCCGGCGUGGGGGGAAUACCCGGACAGUUUGCGAACUUGCGACAUUGACAAAGUCGCAUUCCCCCAUAGUGGUAUUCUUGUGUGAGACUAGACAGAAGGAAAGUAAGAUGAAGAGAAUAAGGAACCGACUGGGCUUGAAAGGUUUUGCCGGGGUGGACAGCGAUGGCAUGAGUGGAGGCCUUGCACUCUACUGGCAUGAGUGA
rnacentral:rRNA from 1 species